rnacentral:tRNA from 1 species
GCCGAAGUGGCGGAAUUGGCAGACGCGCUAUCUUGAGGGGGUAGUGCCCUUGUGGCGUGGGGGUUCGAGUCCCCCCUUCGGCA